AGUUACUUAUUGACUUUGGAGAGCCAGAUCUGCUCAGCAUCCGUGACUGCCAGCCCUAGGAGGUGGGCAGCUCUUGGUCUGUCACUGCCCCCUUGACACAGCCCAAUGAGCACUUGCUGGCCCUCUGGGCUUAGACAUAACUUCUGUGUGUGUGUGUGUGUGUGUGUGUGUGUGUGUUCAGACUUGGCUCCCACUUCUCCUCUGUGCAGUGGCAUCUGUAGCCAGAUCUCUCCAGAUAUUGUUCCUUGUGCCUGGAAUGCUCUUCCCACCUUUCUACAGGACAAGACCUCACGAGAGCGCACCAGGUCACUCUUGUUGCCCACGAGAAUGAUGGGCACGUCGUCUGUCUGCCGGGCCCGCCGCAGCUGGACCCGGAGUUCUGAGGCUUUCUCAAAGCUGCCCUUGUCCGUGAUGGAGUACACGAUGACGUAUGCAUCCCCCAUGGCCAUGCAGUGGCCAGGCAGCCAGCAGCCCCCAUCCUGGAGGGGACACAAACACACACACAACCCUGUAAUUACCAGCAAGACCCUUCUCCAGCUUUGCUUCCUCUUGUGUCCUGUGACCCGGCCUGCGUCCUACCUGUUCCCAAAUGUCAUAGACCAAUAGUGACGCUUCUUCUCCAUCCACAGUGAUAGAACGGUCAUAUGUGUGCCCUAGAAAGGAAGCCAAGAAGCCAGUUAUCAGUCGGCUGUCAACGUUCCCAGUGUCUGCCUUCUUCUCCUGACCACGCCUCCUGCUGCUUCUCCCAGUCCUCUGAUAAUUCUCCUCUGUUAGCAGAUGGUUGCUAUGCCCAAACAAUAUGACAAGCCCGGGAGUCAGGGACUGGAGGACACGACCUCCAUCUCUUUGUCCCCAAACUAGAGAAGUACUGGGUGUCUAGGGAUCCUGCUGCCUGGGUCAAGGGUGGGUGUGGUCAUAUUGGGUGAAGUUAGUAUAGUGGCUGUCACAAACCCUGGAGACUUUGGCCACCUAACUUUCCUCUCCCAGAAAUGUCCUCAGAAUUUGUUCCUGCCAGCCCCGGUAGGCAGGAAAGUGCUGCUACGAGCCACAGGAAAAAAAUCAUAUCUAGCACUCUACUCUUCUAUUCUGGACACUUUUUUCCUAUCAACGACUGGUACGUGGGUAGGAGAGAGGUGGAGGGGGUGGAGUGAGUAGGGAGUAAGUCUCCUUCAGUUUCUCCAUCUUGGACGCGGAAAUAACAUAAUUUCGAAAACGCCUUGAAAUUUCAUAGUAUUUGCCACUUUUAGUCCAGCUCCACCGCCCCCCAACUGUCUUUAUCUAAACAGCUCAGCUCUCUCACCUGCUGCUUCUGCUUCAGGUCCGUCUUCUAUACCACCAAAGAUGCGCGCCAGAGCGCUUUUGCCCACACCAGGCGCCCCGAGCAGCAGCACCUUGUAAACGCCCUCCUCUGACCCACUGCCUCCAGAACUGAGCGAGUCGGAGGAGCCUUCGGGCCAGUCCAGCCUCUGGCCCUGUGUCCGAGUUCCAGCGGCAGUCGUUGCCAGGGAGCCCGGGGCUAGCGCCGCCUGAAGGUCUCGCUCGUCCACCGGCAUGCUCCUGCGGUGCAGUGGGGGUGCCGGGCCCCAUGGGGUGCUGCCUCGACGGCGGUCGCGCUCCCGGCCCGCACCACGGCUCCCGCUUGCUCCGCUGCCACCAUUCAGGGUCAUCGUGUUGGACGCCGUCUGGGGAACGAAGAAUUGGGAUGGCAGCUCUAUCGCGGGAGCAGGUAGGACUCUGGAGUCAAGAAAGAUGCUCAGGAUGAAGGAACCUACUGCCAACCAGGAGGUCUCUACGUCUUAACCAGUAACCCAGCUGGACCUGCAUCCACAUUCAGCCCCAGAUGGUGUUGUCCACCCCGCUUAGUCAGGACACUCACCAACUCUCACACAGAUGUUAUCAGGACUUGAUCAGCGCUGCGACACAGACCACUGGGGGAUCUGAUAGAACCCACUCGUAGACCCCUGUUCAGACUCAGACCCUUGUCGCUGUCACGACUGCAGUCUUUUUCUCCUCUGCUGCUUUCUCAGCCCCUCAGCUGGCGCUGGGUCGCUGUUCUAGGGCCUCCUAUUUAAACCUCUACCAGUCAGACUUCCGCCCUUACCCCUACCCCCGCUCCCGCCCCC
rnacentral:lncRNA from 1 species